UACGUAGGGGGCAAGCGUUAUCCGGAUUUACUGGGUGUAAAGGGAGCGUAGACGGUGAGACAAGUCUGAAGUGAAAGCCCCGGGGCUCAACCCCGGGACUGCUUUGGAAACUGCCUGACUGGAGUGCUGGAGAGGCAAGCGGAAUUCCUGGUGUAGCGGUGAAAUGCGUAGAUAUCAGGAGGAACACCGGCGGCGAAGGCGGCCUGCUGGACCGCGACUGACGUUGAGGCUCGAAAGCGUGGGGAGCGAACAGG
rnacentral:rRNA from 1 species